GUCUAUGGCCAUGCCACACUGAACAAGCCCAAUCCCGUCUGAUUUCAGAAGCUAAGCAGGGUCAGGACUGGUUAGUACUUGGAUGGGAGACCACCUAGGAAGACCAGGUGCUGUAGGCA
rnacentral:rRNA from 1 species